rnacentral:rRNA from 1 species
CCUACGGGGGGCAGCAGUGGGGAAUAUUGGACAAUGGGGGCAACCCUGAUCCAGCCAUGCCGCGUGUGUGAAGAAGGCCCUCGGGUUGUAAAGCACUUUCAGUGAGGAAGAACGCCUGGUGGUUAAUACCCAUCAGGAAAGACAUCACUCACAGAAGAAGCACCGGCUAACUCCGUGCCAGCAGCCGCGGUAAUACGGAGGGUGCGAGCGUUAAUCGGAAUUACUGGGCGUAAAGCGCGCGUAGGUGGCUUGAUAAGCCGGUUGUGAAAGCCCCGGGCUCAACCUGGGAACGGCAUCCGGAACUGUCAAGCUAGAGGGCAGGAGAGGAAGGUAGAAUUCCCGGUGUAGCGGUGAAAUGCGUAGAGAUCGGGAGGAAUACCAGUGGCGAAGGCGGCCUUCUGGACUGACACUGACACUGAGGUGCGAAAGCGUGGGUAGCAAACAGGAUUAGAUACCCUUGUAGUC